AGAGUUUGAUCCUGGCUCAGGACGAACGCUGGCGGCGUGCCUAACACAUGCAAGUCGAGCGGAGACAGUGAGUAGCUUGCUAUGAGCUGUUUUAGCGGCGGACGGGUGAGUAACGCGUGAGCAACCUUUCCCAGACAGGGGAAUAACACACCGAAAGGUGUACUAAUACCGCAUAAGACCACGGGAUCACAUGGUUCUGGGGUAAAAGAAUUAUCGGUUUGGGGUGGGCUCGCGUCCGAUUAGGUAGUUGGUGAGGUAACGGCCCACCAAGCCGACGAUCGGUAGCCGACCUGAGAGGGUGAUCGGCCACAUUGGGACUGAGACACGGCCCAAACUCCUACGGGAGGCAGCAGUGGGGAAUAUUGGGCAAUGGGGGAAACCCUGACCCAGCAACGCCGCGUGGAGGAAGAAGGUUUUCGGAUCGUAAACUCCUGUCCUUGGAGACGAGUAGAAGACGGUAUCCAAGGAGGAAGCCCCGGCUAACUACGUGCCAGCAGCCGCGGUAAUACGUAGGGGGCAAGCGUUGUCCGGAAUAAUUGGGCGUAAAGGGCGCGUAGGCGGCUCGGUAAGUCUGGAGUGAAAGUCCUGCUUUUAAGGUGGGAAUUGCUUUGGAUACUGUCGGGCUUGAGUGCAGGAGAGGUUAGUGGAAUUCCCAGUGUAGCGGUGAAAUGCGUAGAGAUUGGGAGGAACACCAGUGGCGAAGGCGACUAACUGGACUGUAACUGACGCUGAGGCGCGAAAGUGUGGGGAGCAAACAGGAUUAGAUACCCUGGUAGUCCACACUGUAAACGAUGAAUGCUAGGUGUAGGGGGUAUCGACCCCUUCUGUGCCGCAGUCAACACAAUAAGCAUUCCGCCUGGGGAGUACGGCCGCAAGGUUGAAACUCAAAGGAAUUGACGGGGGCCCGCACAAGCAGCGGAGCAUGUGGUUUAAUUCGACGCAACGCGAAGAACCUUACCAGGUCUUGACAUCCACUUAAACUUACAGAGAUGUAAGGUGUGCUUGCACAAAGUGAGACAGGUGGUGCAUGGUUGUCGUCAGCUCGUGUCGUGAGAUGUUGGGUUAA
rnacentral:rRNA from 1 species